ACAAGUUUUCAGCCAGCAGCAAAGACGAGGUGGGGCGUGUCGCGGAGGGAGGGCAGCUGAACUCGACAAAGCCGACCUGAUAUAUAGUAAUUUUUUUUUUCUUUCAUUAUAUUUUGAUUUAAUUAUACUGGUAUGUAUAUUUUUGGAGUUUUACAUAUGAUUUUGUAAUGAAGUGUACUGCCCCUUUAAGAAAAUCUUCACUUUGAACGCGUUCUCUCCUAGCUCAGUUAACGCUAAGCUACACUGAAAGGAGGAUGUCUGGUGGCUCACGGAGCCAAAGAUGUUUUUGAGAAGUCACUCAAUAUAUGCUGCGUCCUAAUAUUAAUUCUUCGUUUGUCCAGGUAAAGCACAGAUGACUAGCAGUCCAAAGUGAGAACCUGUAUGACCAAUAAGGUGCCAUAAACAAAACACACACAAAAAAAUUCAGAAGGUAGUUUUUUAGUAAUAUGAAUGGUCUUAAUGAUAUCCAAUGAUGGAAAACUAUGUGACCUACUUUAUUAAUUCGGUUGUAGGAUUGUAAAGGACACACAAAAAAACAACAACAACGACUUUCAUAGAGACCAAGACCUUCUAUAAAAGCUUUGAAUCCAGUGGUAAACCUUGUGGGAAUCGGUGAGAUGUUAUACCUGCAUGGUGUUUCACCUCCUCCGGUGCCAUUACGUCAGCUACCGGAUUGUCAGCUGGUAGCCGACGUUUACCGAUGCUUCGCCCCUAUACCAGUACAUGUCCCAUCAGGGGGGAAGUGGUAUAUCAGGGAUGUUUCCCUGCCAGCCCCUGCAGCAGCCUUUAUUGGGGUGUUACCCCCCCAGUCACUCUCCUUCCUCUGGAGCCAGAGCCAAAAGGUCUUUCUCUGCCGCCUCCUCAAGCUCCUUCACCACCUUGUGCCGGUUUAUUCCCGCCAUGCCAGACUCACAGAGUAGUUAAUAAAGAUUACAUCAUUA